UAUCUAAUUCUCGAGCAGUUUUACUGGGCUACUAUCAGAAGUAAAUGGAUCGGUUUACUACCAAUUUCUUUUCGAUAAUAUAGCUUCUAAAUCGAUGAUCGGCACCGUUGAAUAUAUGAUAAUAGUGAACGGAUUGGUUUACUGUUGAUUUUUUUUUCGAUAAUAUAGCUUCUAAAUCGAUGAGCGACACCAUUGAACAUGAUCUGGACUAUUUUAAAUUAUUUAGAGAUCAAACUUUAUACUUUUUCGACAUUACUAACUAAGCGAUCAAAGGGUCAUAAAAUUUUCAAUUUUAAUGGCCGAUGCGGUGCAUUUGCUUAUUUUUAACUGUAUAGAAGAGUCCAAAUCAACUGAAUUUUUAUUAAAAAACUUUUAAAAACUAUUUAAAACAAGAUCUAACUCUAGAUUUUGAAUACAAAAAAUAUAUCAUCAUUUGCUUUUCAGCCAUCCAUUUUAUAUCUAUUUAAUAGACGAAAGAAUAAUAUUGAAAAAAUAUGAAAUUUGAUUUUUAGAUAGUUUAAAUGAUAUAAAUCAUGUUCAAUGAUGUCAAACGUCGAUUUGUAAGUUAUAUCAUCGAAAAUAAUUAAAUUGGUAAUAAACUAAGCCGUUGACUAUCGAUAGUAGUUCAGAAAAACGCACAUUUCUGUCCAUUGAUAUAUAUAUACAUAUAGAGAGAGAGAGAGGCAGACUUGUGAUUGUUUAGUCGUUGAAUGGCUUCAAGAUUCGUGCAAUACUAUUAACGGUAUAUCCUUACUAGUGCUUGAACAGAUCUUAAGGCGAUCUGAGGCUAAAAAAUUACAAUCACAGAUAUUUCUAUGCUGUUUAAAAUAUAGAAGCUUAAUUCUCUCUCUAUAUAUAAAUGCACCAGGUGUAGGUAGUAAUUUUUUUUGCUUCAUCCACCAAGUUGGCAUGAAGUAGUUGGCAAACUUAGGGUUGAGAAAAAUUCGAGGGCAUGGGUCCCAAAUGAUUAAUUUAUAUUGAGUGUAGAUUUAAGCAUAAUAAUUAAAUGAAUAAUGGCUUCAAUAUCAGAGUGCAGCUACUAUACUCUUAUGAGUAUAGACUUUUUUAUAUUUUUAAGUUUUCGGCCGUUAGAUUUAUCCCCUUGACCAUUCUCACUCGUUGAAUUAUAUUAUUCAACCAAUCACUAACUCAACCUUAGGAAACCACUAUCAUCCUAAUCAGGAACCGCUAUCAUUCUAACCAUACAUUCCUUUAUCCAACGGCCAAAAACUUAUGAGUACAAAAAAAUGUAUACUCAUAAAAGUAUAGUAACCCUAGCCCUAAUAUCAUUACAUGAUUAAGACUUAAUUUAGUAUUGAGGCCUAUCAAACGCUAUUAGAUAAAAUUGAGUUGAGGAAAAAGCAUAUAUGGAUAUGCUUCUACGUUCUCCGGUGGGACCGCAGAAAAUAUAUCAUAACCGACUCAUCGCGAUAUGCGGAAUGCAAUAUUAUAUACGGAAACAAACAGGAUAUUUUUCUAACGUACUUUUUCACCGCACGUAACGCAAUCUCCCCGCAAUCCCAAACGAAGCCUAAAUGAAUAUUGAGGAUAUGUGAAAUGAGGGUAUGUGAAAUUGUGUGCAUUAAUUAAUAU
rnacentral:lncRNA from 1 species